CCUGCAGCACAGAGGCUUCUGUGGUUUAACCCACAGCGCCACCACAUCCCCUGUUGGACAUACUGAUCUCAAAUCAGGGAGGCACAGAAGGCGUCUCCCAAAAUAAUCCAUGCACCCCAUGAGCAGCAUCUGUCAGCUGGGCCACUCCAGAUGCACCAAUUUGAGGAAAGGACAAAGAAGAAUAAAAUGCAUGAGGAUGUACAGGAUUCUGGCUUACCAGAAGAAACUGGUGUGGGGCUUUUUACUCAACAACUCCAACUACCACAAACCACCUUAGCCAGGAUAUACACUGUGAUGUAAAAAGCAAAGUUCUUCUCAAAAUAUUCUCAGCCCAGGAAUUUGCUAUCAGUAUUAGAACUGACUAACAUUUUCUGCCUGAUUCUGCCUAAUGGUAGGGCCGGUCCAGUUCCAGGACAGAUCAGAGGCAUCUAAGAACUGCAGCGCGGGAUAUCCAGCAGUUCAGAUAAGUACUGUUCAAUAAAUAAUAUCUCUUUAUGAUAAGUUCUCCAACUCUUCAUAAUUAAAGAAGGAUUAUACCAUGUAGAAUGGUCCUUGUCCUUACCACACAGGUCAUGCUAUUGCUGAAUUUAGAAGUUUUCUUUUUUUGAUUAAAACUCGCAGAACCCACAGCCAAGAUGGCCACCGGCCCAGGAGCAACAAAGUGUUGUCAUGAAACAGAGGUCUGCAUCCAGCUGUAAGGAGUGUCUUCAUAUCCUUUACCACUUGGUUCUCUGGUUGAAGCAAAAUGCACCCGGAGGACUAAUGUGGCCUUGGUAGCCACAUUUGCGGGAAAGAAAUCAAAUAAAUAAAUAAUGUAGUUGUCAAUGUUACCUGAGAGAUUAUUUUCUUCCUUAUAAA